UGUAUCUGUUCUCUAUAUGAUUGAUGUAUUAGUGGAAACACAAUAUAGGUGAAUGAUAUAAGACACAUCCGCUAUAUGAAUCCAAUCUAAUACAAGUUCUAUGUGUGGGUUGUUAGUCACAACCUCAGUAUAUGUGAGUGGUAUAAUAUGUGCAUGAAGUUCUGUUAAAACAGCCUCAAUUUAGCUCACUCAUAUAAUCUUAAUAUGUGUGCAGGCAUAGUGUCACC